AUUAUUUUGGCAGAUUAGUGCAAUGAAUUUAGAAUUCUUAUAUAUAAAUUUUAUUUAUAGAUAAUA
rnacentral:tRNA from 1 species